AACUUUUUCUUCUGCCAAACAAGUUCCUUCUUAUAUCACGUUGAAACAACCAAUUAAGUCCUCCGCUAGUCAAUCUUGUCCAGAAAAGAAGUAUCAUUCUGUGCAUAAUUUUGAUGUUGCAACUUACCAGGAUAAAGUUAAAGGCUUAGAUACUUCUGGUGUUCUUCAAUUGAUUAAAAAUGUUUUCAGGCCUGAUGAGAAUUUUUCCUUUCCUAAGACCGGUGGUAGGAGCUUUAGAUAUGACUGGCUAAAAAAAUAUGACUGGCUAUGCUACUCCCCAUCAAAAGAUGGUGCAUUUUGUUUGUCAUGCGUGCUUUUUGGUCAUCGCUUCCCUGGUAAAGCUUCUAAGAUUACAAAUUUGUUUUCUAAACCGGUUUCACGCUGGAAUGAUGCUGCAUUUACUUUUAAACGCCAUGAUGAAGGAGAAGUGGGGUUGCAUGCCCAAACAAAUCCAAUUUUAUUUGCCUUACGUGCUCAAAUGUCAGGGUCUGCGCAACCAAUAGAGCUCAUGUUAGAAAGAAAUCUUAAAAAGGAAAUCGAUCAGAACAAAUGUAAGCUGUCUUCUAUUGCUGAUUGCAUUCUUUUUUGUGGUCGUUUAGGUUUGCCUUUGCGUGGCCACCGUGAUGAUGCUAAAUAUCAUCCAGAGCUGAUGAGGCUGCAGAUUCUUCCCAUAGAGAGCAAAUGGCUCUAAUUUUACGUUUUAUUGAUAAGAAUAUGGACAUAAGAGAGGAGUUCAUUGCCUUUCUUCAAUGUAAGUGGGGAUUGAGUGGAGAGAACCUUGCUAAAUUAAUUCUAGAUAAACUUAAAGACCUUGGCUUGCCAAUUGAAGACUGUCGCGGACAAGGUUAUGAUGGUGCGGGUGCUGUUGCAGGUUGUGUUAAAGGUUUGGCUGCCCAAAUUUUGAAGCUCAACUCGAAAGCAUUAUAUACCCACUGUUAUAGUCAUAGGCUUAAUUUGUCAGUUUGUGAUUCUUUGUCAGAUAUUGAGGUUAAGAAAGUACUUAACAAAAUAAAAGAUGUGACAAAUUUUA